rnacentral:rRNA from 1 species
CUGAAAUCAGAUGGGACUACCCGCUGAACUUAAGCAUAUCAAU